GUAUUAGUAGGGGGGGGAGGGCUCUUUAUCUCCAGGGUCCUGGGUCACCGCGUCCCUACCCAGCUCAGACUCCCGGAGCAUCACCGGAGACGCUCUAGGAUUGGAAGUUGUUAUGGCAACGAAGCUCUCAGAAUACUGAGGAAAGCCGAAGCCUAGAGAGGCGACACCCUCUUAUACCCUCUUCGGCCCCACGAGUAAAGUGGCGCCCCCUACGCACAGGAACCGUGCUUGGGCCCCCGCCCCGGCACGGAGACCACCCUGGACCUCCGGGGGCGGGAGGCCGCUCUGGCCCGAAGCGGAGCCUCUCACUGGUAGACGGGCCCGAGGGAGCCCCUCUGGGCGCAGCGCCGCUGAGCUGCUCGAUGCUCCGACCGGAAGUGCUCUUCACCGCCGACCUCCCACCCGGCUCUCUGGUCCCGGCGGUAAGAUGGCGGCUGCCGCGGAGUGCGAUGUGGUAAUGGCGGCGACCGAGCCAGAGCUGCUAGACGAUGAGGAGGCGAAGAGAGAAGCAGAGUCUUUCAAGGAACAAGGAAAUGCCUACUAUGCCAAGAAAGAUUACAAUGAAGCUUAUAACUAUUAUACAAAAGCCAUAGAUAUGUGUCCUAAAAAUGCUAGCUAUUAUGGGAAUCGAGCCGCCACCUUGAUGAUGCUCGGAAAGUUCCGGGAAGCUCUCGGGGAUGCACAGCAGUCAGUGAGGUUGGAUGACAGUUUCGUCCGGGGACAUCUACGAGAAGGCAAAUGCCACCUAUCUCUAGGGAAUGCCAUGGCGGCGUGUCGUAGUUUCCAGAGAGCCCUAGAACUGGAUCAUAAAAAUGCUCAGGCCCAGCAGGAGUUCAAGAAUGCGAAUGCAGUCAUAGAAUAUGAGAAAAUAGCAGAAACGGAUUUUGAGAAGCGGGAUUUUCGGAAGGUUGUUUUUUGCAUGGACCGUGCCCUAGAAUAUGCCCCUGCCUGCCAUCGCUUCAAAAUCCUCAAAGCAGAAUGUUUAGCAAUGCUGGGUCGUUACCCAGAAGCACAGUCUGUGGCCAGUGACAUUUUACGAAUGGAUUCCACCAAUGCCGAUGCUCUGUAUGUACGAGGUCUUUGCCUUUAUUAUGAAGAUUGUAUUGAGAAGGCGGUUCAGUUUUUUGUACAGGCUCUCAGGAUGGCUCCUGACCAUGAGAAGGCCUGCGUUGCUUGCAGAAAUGCCAAAGCACUUAAAGCAAAGAAAGAAGAUGGGAAUAAAGCAUUUAAAGAAGGAAAUUACAAGCUAGCAUAUGAACUGUACACAGAAGCCCUGGGGAUAGACCCCAACAAUAUAAAAACAAAUGCUAAACUCUACUGUAAUCGGGGUACGGUUAAUUCCAAGCUUAGGAAACUAGAUGAUGCAAUAGAAGACUGCACAAAUGCAGUGAAGCUCGAUGACACGUAUAUAAAAGCCUACUUGAGAAGAGCUCAGUGGUGGGAUUGUUCCAGCCCUAGAGCUAUCUUUAUAGACCUCCAGCGGAGGAGAUUGCACAAGCUCCCUCAGUCUCCCAUGCCUGUGUCUUACGCCCCUCACGUUACUUGGACACAGAACAGUAUGAAGAAGCAGUACGGGACUAUGAAAAAGUAUAUCAGACGGAGAAAACAAAAGAACACAAACAGCUCCUUAAAAAUGCACAGUUAGAACUGAAGAAGAGUAAGAGGAAAGAUUACUACAAGAUUCUUGGUGUAGACAAGAAUGCCUCUGAGGACGAGAUCAAGAAAGCCUACCGGAAGCGGGCCUUGAUGCACCAUCCAGAUCGGCACAGUGGAGCCAGUGCCGAAGUUCAGAAGGAGGAGGAGAAAAAGUUCAAGGAAGUCGGAGAAGCUUUUACCAUUCUCUCUGAUCCCAAGAAAAAGACUCGCUAUGACAGUGGACAAGACCUUGAUGAAGAGGGCAUGAAUAUGGGUGAUUUUGACGCAAACAAUAUCUUCAAGGCAUUCUUUGGCGGUCCUGGGGGCUUCAGCUUUGAAGCUUCUGGUCCAGGGAAUUUCUUUUUUCAGUUUGGCUAAUGAAAGGACACCACCCAGAAUCCAGAAAAUGCAGACUUGCUCAGUUUAACCUCGAAUGUGGACACAAUUCACCUCCUCCCUUCAUCACGUCUCCACGUCCUUAGAGCAGUUUCGUUUUCUCAGUUGGAUACCCUGUGUCUGUGUGAGUGGGGUGAAGGAAAGGGAGCCAGCGCCGAAGACUGCGGGGAGGGGAGGGAGGCGGGGGGCGGACAGGGCAGCUUGUGAAUUUUUGUUUUACUGUUUAACUUUAUUAAAAAAGAAAAAAAAAUAAGAGAAUAAAA